GCGAGUGAAGCGGCAACAGCUCAAAUUUGAAAUCUGGCCCUUGGGUCCGAAUUGUAAUUUGUAGAGGAUGAUUUUGGUGCGGUAUCUUCCGAGUUCCUUGGAACAGGACGCCUUAGAGGGUGAGAGCCCCGUACGGUUGAAUGCCUAGCCUCUGUAAAUCUCCUUCGACGAGUCGAGUAGUUUGGGAAUGCUGCUCUAAAUGGGAGGUAAAUUUCUUCUAAAGCUAAAUAUUGGCCAGAGACCGAUAGCGCACAAGUAGAGUGAUCGAAAGAUGAAAAGCACUUUGAAAAGAGGGUUAAAUAGCACGUGAAAUUGUUGAAAGGGAAGGAUUUGUGACCAGACUUUUUCUGGGCGGAUCAUCCGGGGUUCUCUCCGGUGCACUUCGCCCAGUAAAGGCCAGCAUCGGUUUUCGGCGUGGGAUAAAAGCAGUAGGAAUGUGGCUCUCUACGGGGAGUGUUAUAGCCUAUUGUAUAAUACCGCGCUGGGGACCGAGGUUCGCGCUUCUGCAAGGAUGCUGGCGUAAUGGUUAUCAAUCACCCGUCUUGAAACACGGACCAAGGAGUCGAACAUUUGUGCAAGUGUUUGGGUGUUAAACCCUCACGCGUAAUGAAAGUGAACGGAGGUGAGAGCCCUUACGGGUGCAUCAUCGACCGAUCCUGAAGUUUUCGGAUGGAUUUGAGUAAGAGCAUAACUGUUCGGACCCGAAAGAUGGUGAACUAUGCGUGGAUAGGGUGAAGCCAGAGGAAACUCUGGUGGAGGCUCGCAGCGGUUCUGACGUGCAAAUCGAUCGUCAAAUCUG
rnacentral:rRNA from 1 species